rnacentral:rRNA from 1 species
CCUACGGGGGGCUGCAGUAGGGAAUCUUCCGCAAUGGACGAAAGUCUGACGGAGCAACGCCGCGUGAGCGAAGAAGGUCUUCGGAUCGUAAAGCUCUGUUGUUAGGGAAGAACAAGUACGGGAGGAAAUGACCGUACCUUGACGGUACCUAACGAGGAAGCCACGGCUAACUACGUGCCAGCAGCCGCGGUAAUACGUAGGUGGCAAGCGUUGUCCGGAAUUAUUGGGCGUAAAGCGCGCGCAGGCGGUCUUUUAAGUCUGAUGUGAAAUCUUGCGGCUCAACCGCAAGCGGUCAUUGGAAACUGGUAUGGUUGAGUGAAGAAGAGGAAAGCGGAAUUGCACGUUUAGCGGUGAAUUGCGUAGAGAUCGUGAAGGAGACCAGUGGCGAAGGCGGCCGGCUGGGCUUUAACUGACGCUGAGGCACGAAAGCGUGGGUAGCAAACAGGAUUAGAUACCCCAGUAGUC